GAUGAACGCUGGCGGCGUGCCUAAUACAUGCAAGUCGAGCGAACAGACGAGGAGCUUGCUCCUCUGACGUUAGCGGCGGACGGGUGAGUAACACGUGGAUAACCUACCUAUAAGACUGGGAUAACUUCGGGAAACCGGAGCUAAUACCGGAUAAUAUAUUGAACCGCAUGGUUCAAUAGUGAAAGACGGUUUUGCUGUCACUUAUAGAUGGAUCCGCGCCGCAUUAGCUAGUUGGUAAGGUAACGGCUUACCAAGGCGACGAUGCGUAGCCGACCUGAGAGGGUGAUCGGCCACACUGGAACUGAGCCACGGUCCAGACUACUACGGGAGGCAGCAGUAGGGAAUCUUCCGCAAUGGGCGAAAGCCUGACGGAGCAACGCCGCGUGAGUGAUGAAGGUCUUCGGAUCGUAAAACUCUGUUAUUAGGGAAGAACAAAUGUGUAAGUAACUAUGCACGUCUUGACGGUACCUAAUCAGAAAGCCACGGCUAACUACGUG
rnacentral:rRNA from 1 species